rnacentral:rRNA from 1 species
GAUGAACGCUGGCGGCGUGCCUAAUACAUGCGAGUCGAGCGAACAGACGAGAGUGCUUGCACUCUCUGACGUUAGCGGCGAACGGGGGGGUACCACGUGGGUAACCUACUAAUAAGACUGGGAAAACUUCGGGAAACCGGAGCUAUUACCGGAUAUAUUUUGGCUUGGCUUGAACAAUUGUGAAAAGACGGUUCUGCUGUCCUUAUUAGAUGAACCGGCGUUGAUUAGCUAGUUGGUGAGGUAACGGCUCCCCAAGGCCACGAUACAUAGCCGACCUGAGAGGGUGAUCGGCCACACUGGGACUGAGACACGGCCCAGACUCCUACGGGAGGCAGCAGUAGGGAAUCUUCCGCAAUGGACGAAAGUCUGACGGAGCAAUGCCGCGUGAGUGAAGAAGGUUUUCGGAUCGUAAAACUCUGUUGUAAGGGAAGAACAAGUACGUUAGUAACUGAACGUACCUUGACGGUACCUUACCAGAAAGCCACGGCUAACUACGUG